UCGCUUCAGUAGCACAUAUACUAAAACUGGAACAAUACAGAGAAGAUUAGCAUGGCCCCUGUGCAAGGAUGACAUGCAAAUUCAUGAAGUGUUCCAUAUUUGG
ensembl:snRNA U6 U6 spliceosomal RNA